UUCUUCCUCUUUUUUUCUUCUUCCCUGACCCUGCUGCAGCGCUGCUGAGUCUCCUACUCUCCUGAGUAAACUUCACAGAUUCACAGAAGUGACAGAAAAAUUAUUAGAUUCAUCUAAAGAUCAAAGACAGUCUUGAAGAGAAAUACAAGAGCGGAUUGAUUUUCUGGGCUCGUGAAGAUCGGAGGAAUACAACAACGAAUUGAUUUUCUGGGUUCGUGAAGAGUGAAUUGAUUUUCUGUUCGAUUAAUAAUAUAUUGGAGUUCUAGUGAAAUCUUUAAAUUUUGGUUUGAGCAGUUUGGAUAAGUGGUUGUCCCCUAAAUCUGUAAGUACAU